GGGAAUUUUCCGCAAUGGGCGCAAGCCUGACGGAGCAACGCCGCGUGAGGGAUGAAGGUUUUCGGAUCGUAAACCUCUGUCUAGAGGGACGAUAAUGACGGUACCUCUGGAGGAAGCCACGGCUAACUACGUGCCAGCAGCCGCGGUAAUACGUAGGUGGCAAGCGUUGUCCGGAAUUACUGGGCGUAAAGGGCGUGUAGGCGGCCUGUCAAGUCAGACGUGAAAUCCCUGGGCUUAACCCAGGAACUGCGUUUGAAACUGACGGGCUUGAGGAUCGGAGAGGGCAGUGGAAUUCCCAGUGUAGCGGUGAAAUGCGUAGAUAUUGGGAGGAACACCAGUGGCGAAGGCGACUGCCUGGACGACACCUGACGCUGAGGCGCGAAAGCUAGGGGAGCAAACGGGAUUAGA
rnacentral:rRNA from 1 species